rnacentral:rRNA from 1 species
CAUCAAGGUGAGUGUCGGUAAAUACUGCCUGAAAAUUUCCCUGGUGGGGGGGGAUAACUUUGGAAAAGUGGUGUUUAUCCUGAUAAAAUGGUCGGGCUCAAAAGGGGGGGCCUUUUGGGCCUUCUGGGGUCGAGUAUACCCCAGAUGGGAUUAAGUUAGUGGGGGGGGUAAAGGCUCCACCAAAGGAGGAGGAUCCUUAGGGUUGUUUGGACGGGGUGGUUCAGCCAACAUGGGAAUUUGAGACCCGGUUCCAGAUUCUUACGGGAGGCAGCAGUGGGGAAUAUUGCACAAUGGGCGCAAGCUUGAUGCAGCCAUGCCGGGUGUGUGAAGAAGGCCUUCGGGUUGUAAAGCACUUUCAGUCGUGAGGAAGGUAGUGUAGUUAAUAGCUGCAUCGUUUGACGUUAGCGACAGAAGAAGCACCGGCUAAUUCCGUGCCAGCAGCCGCGGUAAUACGGAGGGUGCGAGCGUUAAUCGGAAUUACUGGGCGUAAAGCGCAUGCAGGUGGUUAGUUAAGUCAGAUGUGAAAGCCCGGGGCUCAACCUCGGAACUGCAUUUGAAACUGGCUGACUAGAGUACUGUAGAGGGGGGUAGAAUUUCAGGUGUAGCGGUGAAAUGCGUAGAGAUCUGAAGGAAUACCGGUGGCGAAGGCGGCCCCCUGGACAGAUACUGACACUCAGAUGCGAAAGCGUGGGGAGCAAACAGGAUUAGAUACCCUGGUAGUCCACGCCGUAAACGAUGUCUACUUGGAGGUUGUGGCCUUGAGCCGUGGCUUUCGGAGCUAACGCGUUAAGUAGACCGCCUGGGGAGUACGGUCGCAAGAUUAAAACUCAAAUGAAUUGACGGGGGCCCGCACAAGCGGUGGAGCAUGUGGUUUAAUUCGAUGCAACGCGAAGAACCUUACCUACUCUUGACAUCCAGAGAACUUAGCAGAGAUGCUUUGGUGCCUUCGGGAACUCUGAGACAGGUGCUGCAUGGCUGUCGUCAGCUCGUGUUGUGAAAUGUUGGGUUAAGUCCCGCAACGAGCGCAACCCUUAUCCUUGUUUGCCAGCACUUCGGGUGGGAACUCCAGGGAGACUGCCGGUGAUAAACCGGAGGAAGGUGGGGACGACGUCAAGUCAUCAUGGCCCUUACGAGUAGGGCUACACACGUGCUACAAUGGCGCAUACAGAGGGCGGCCAACUUGCGAAAGUGAGCGAAUCCCAAAAAGUGCGUCGUAGUCCGGAUUGGAGUCUGCAACUCGACUCCAUGAAGUCGGAAUCGCUUGUAAUCGUGGAUCAGAAUGCCACGAUGAAUACCUUCCUAUAGCUUUUACCCCCCUCUCUGUAUCGUGUCGCACUACGAGAGAUAUCUCCUAGUAGU